UACGUAGGGUGCAAGCGUUGUCCGGAAUUAUUGGGCGUAAAGAGCUCGUAGGCGGUUUGUCGCGUCUGCUGUGAAAACGCGAGGCUCAACCUCGCGCCUGCAGUGGGUCCGGGCAGACUAGAGUGCGGUAGGGGAGAUUGGAAUUCCUGGUGUAGCGGUGGAAUGCGCAGAUAUCAGGAGGAACACCGAUGGCGAAGGCAGAUCUCUGGGCCGUUACUGACGCUGAGGAGCGAAAGCGUGGGGAGCGAACAGG
rnacentral:rRNA from 1 species